rnacentral:rRNA from 1 species
UGGGGAAUUUUGGACAAUGGGGGAAACCCUGAUCCAGCCAUCCCGCGUGUGCGAUGAAGGCCUUCGGGUUGUAAAGCACUUUUGGCAGGAAAGAAACGUCAUGGGUUAAUACCCCGUGAAACUGACGGUACCUGCAGAAUAAGCACCGGCUAACUACGUGCCAGCAGCCGCGGUAAUACGUAGGGUGCAAGCGUUAAUCGGAAUUACUGGGCGUAAAGCGUGCGCAGGCGGUUCGGAAAGAAAGAUGUGAAAUCCCAGAGCUCAACUUUGGAACUGCAUUUUUAACUACCGGGCUAGAGUGUGUCAGAGGGAGGUGGAAUUCCGCGUGUAGCAGUGAAAUGCGUAGAUAUGCGGAGGAACACCGAUGGCGAAGGCAGCCUCCUGGGAUAACACUGACGCUCAGGCACGAAAGCGUGGGGAGCAAACAGG